AGAGUUUGAUCCUGGCUCAGAAUCAACGCUGGCGGCGCGCCUAACACAUGCAAGUCGAACGAGAAAGUGGAGCAAUCCAUGAGUACAGUGGCGUACGGGUGAGUAACACGUGGGUAAUCUACCUUUUAGUGAGGAAUAACCGAGGGAAACUUUGGCUAAUACCGCAUAAGCCCGAGAGGGGAAAGCAGAAAUGCGCUGAAAGAGGAGCCCGCGGCCGAUUAGCUAGUUGGUGGGGUAAGAGCCCACCAAGGCAGAGAUCGGUAGCCGGCCUGAGAGGGCACACGGCCACACUGGCACUGAAACACGGGCCAGACUCCUACGGGAGGCAGCAGUGGGGAAUCUUGCACAAUGGGGGAAACCCUGAUGCAGCGACGCCGCGUGAGCGAUGAAGCCCUUCGGGGUGUAAAGCUCUUUCGCCAGGGAAGAUAGUGACGGUACCUGGAGAAGCAGCUGCGGCUAACUACGUGCCAGCAGCCGCGGUA
rnacentral:rRNA from 1 species